CCUACGGGAGGCAGCAGUGGGGAAUAUUGGGCAAUGGACGAAAGCCUGACCCAGCAACGCCGCGUGAAUGAUGAAGGUCUUCGGAUUGUAAAGUUCUUUUCUAAGGGACGAAGAAAGUGACGGUACCUUAGGAAUAAGCCUCGGCUAACUACGUGCCAGCAGCCGCGGUAAUACGUAGGAGGCAAGCGUUAUCCGGAUUGACUGGGGGUAAAGGGCGCGUAGGUGGGUUUGCAAGUUGGCGGCGUAACUCCGGGGCUCAACCUCUGCACUACUUUCGAAACUGUAGGUCUUGAGUGCAGGAGAGGCAAAUGGAAUUCCUAGUGUAGCGGUGGAAUGCGUAGAUAUUAGGAGGAACACCAGUGGCGAAGGCGAUUUGCUGGACUGUAACUGACGCUGAGGCACGAAAGCGUGGGGAGCAAACAGGAUUAGAUACCCUAGUAGUC
rnacentral:rRNA from 1 species